rnacentral:tRNA from 1 species
GAACGCAUAGCAGAGUGGUAGGUGGGGUUUUGGCGCAGCUGGUGGUCGUGGGUUCGAGUCCCACAGCGCGCA